UGGAACGGUGAGUGGAUGAAAGCUCCGGCGGCAUAGGAUGGGCCUGCGGCGUAUCAGGUUGUAGGGGGUGUAACGUACCCUCUAGCCCUCUACGCGUACGGGUGUUGGGAGACAUAGCCCGGAGAUGGAUUCUGAGACACGAAUCCAGACCCUACGGGGUGCAGCAGGCGCGAAAACUUGGCAAUGCGAGAAAUCGUGACCAGGGAACUCCAAGUGCAUCGGGUAAGACCGGUGCUUUUCUUGACUCUAAAUAGGUCUUGGAAUAAGGGGUGGGUAAGGACGGUGCCAGCCGCCGCGGUAAUACCGGCGCCUCAAGUGGUAGUCGCUUUUAUUGGGCCUAAAACGUCCGUAGCCGGUCUGAUACAUUCGUGGGUAAAUCAACCAGCUUAACUGGUUGAAUUCUGCGAGGACGGUCAGACUUGGGACCGGGAGAGGUGUGGGGUACGCUCAGGGUAGGGGUAAAAUCCUGUCAUCCUGAGCGGACCACCUGUUGCGAAGGCGCCACACUAGAACGGAUCCGACGGUCAGGGACGAAGCCUAGGGGCACGAACCGGAUUAGAUACCCGGGUAGUCCUAGGUGUAAACGCUGUGGACUUGAUGUUGGGGGUGCUCCGAGCACUCUCAGUGUCGAAGCGAAGGUGAUAAGUCCACUGCCUGGGAAGUACGGUCGCAAGGCUGAAACUUAAAGGAAUUGGCGGGGGAGCACCGCAACCUGAGGAUUGUGCGGUUUAAUUGGACUCAACGCCGGGA
rnacentral:rRNA from 1 species